AUUGUAAGAUACACCGGGACCACGGUGAUCACUAAUACCCUGGUCCCAGGUGGAGGCUCGCAAUCGCACUCCGGCGUGUUGAAGCAUGCGACGAUCCCUAAUCGAGCUCGCUCGGACUGGUAGUUUUUGUCAGUGAGGAGGUAUUCGGAUCAUCCCUU
rnacentral:snRNA from 15 species